GUAAGUAUAAUUUAAUAAAAAUAUUAGAUUGUGAUUCUGAAAAUAGGAGUUAAAGUCCCCUUACUCACC
rnacentral:tRNA from 1 species